rnacentral:rRNA from 1 species
CGUAGCGAAAGCGAGUCUGAAUAGGGCGCUUAGUCAGAUGCUGCAGACCCGAAACGAAGUGAUCUAUCCAUGAGCAAGUUGAAGCUAGUGUAAGAACUAGUGGAGGACUGAACCCAUAGGCGUUGAAAAGCCCCGGGAUGACUUGUGGAUAGGGGUGAAAGGCCAAUCAAACUUCGUGAUAGCUGGUUCUCUCCGAAAUAUAUUUAGGUAUAGCGUUGUGUCGUAAUAUAAGGGGGUAGAGCACUGAAUGGGCUAGGGCAUACACCAAUGUACCAAACCCUAUCAAACUCCGAAUACCUUAUAUGUAAUCACAGCAGUCAGGCGGCGAGUGAUAAAAUCCGUCGUCAAGAGGGAAACAACCCAGACUACCAGCUAAGGUCCCUAAAUCUUACUUAAGUGGAAAACGAUGUGAAGUUACUUAAACAACCAGGAGGUUGGCUUAGAAGCAGCCAUCCUUUAAAGAAAGCGUAAUAGCUCACUGGUCUAGUGAUUUUGCGCGGAAAAUAUAACGGGGCUAAAGUAAGUACCGAAGCUGUAGACUUGCGCACAACUUAGAUUAUUUAAGUUUAGAAUAUGAGAAACUAAGUUAUGUUUAGUUAUAUUUUUACUGAUUUUUAUAGAGUAAAGAUAGAAAUAAAACUUAGUAAAAUCAGUAAAAAUAUUCUUAGGCUAAAGUUAAGUAGUUUAAGUUGUGUGCAAGUGGUAGGAGAGCGUUCUAUUUGCGUCGAAGGUAUACCGGUAAGGAGUGCUGGAGCGAAUAGAAGUGAGCAUGCAGGCAUGAGUAGCGAUAAUUAAUGUGAGAAUCAUUAACGCCGUAAACCCAAGGUUUCCUACGCGAUGCUCGUCAUCGUAGGGUUAGUCGGGUCCUAAGUCGAGUCCGAAAGGGGUAGACGAUGGCAAAUUGGUUAAUAUUCCAAUACCAACAUUAGUGUGCGAUGGAAGGACGCUUAGGGCUAAGGGGGCUAGCGGAUGGAAGUGCUAGUCUAAGGUCGUAGGAGGUUAUACAGGCAAAUCCGUAUAACAAUACUCCGAGAACUGAAAGGCUUUUUGAAGUCUUCGGAUGGAUAGAAGAACCCCUGAUGCCGUCGAGCCAAGAAAAGUUUCUAAGUUUAGCUAAUGUUGCCCGUACCGUAAACCGACACAGGUGGGUGGGAUGAGUAUUCUAAGGCGCGUGGAAGAACUCUCUUUAAGGAACUCUGCAAAAUAGCACCGUAUCUUCGGUAUAAGGUGUGGUUAGCUUCGUACUAGGAUUUACUCCGAAAGCGAAGAAACUUACAACAAAGAGUCCCUCCCGACUGUUUACCAAAAACACAGCACUCUGCUAACUCGUAAGAGGAUGUAUAGGGUGUGACGCCUGCCCGGUGCUCGAAGGUUAAUUGAUGGGGUUAGCAUUAGCGAAGCUCUUGAUCGAAGCCCGAGUAAACGGCGGCCGUAACUAUAACGGUCCUAAGGUAGCGAAAUUCCUUGUCGGUUAAAUACCGACCUGCAUGAAUGGCGUAACGAGAUGGGAGCUGUCUCAAAGAGGGAUCCAGUGAAAUUGUAGUGGAGGUGAAAAUUCCUCCUACCCGCGGCAAGACGGAAAGACCCCGUGGACCUUUACUACAGCUUGACACUGCUACUUGGAUAAGAAUGUGCAGGAUAGGUGGGAGGCUUUGAGUAUAUGACGCCAGUUGUAUAUGAGCCAUUGUUGAGAUACCACUCUUUCUUAUUUGGGUAGCUAACCGGCUUGAGUUAUCCUCAAGUGGGACAAUGUCUGGUGGGUAGUUUGACUGGGGCGGUCGCCUCCCAAAUAAUAACGGAGGCUUACAAAGGUUGGCUCAGAACGGUUGGAAAUCGUUCGUAGAGUAUAAAGGUAUAAGCCAGCUUAACUGCAAGACAUACAAGUCAAGCAGAGACGAAAGUCGGUCUUAGUGAUCCGGUGGUUCUGUGUGGAAGGGCCAUCGCUCAAAGGAUAAAAGGUACCCCGGGGAUAACAGGCUGAUCUCCCCCAAGAGCUCACAUCGACGGGGAGGUUUGGCACCUCGAUGUCGGCUCAUCGCAUCCUGGGGCUGGAGCAGGUCCCAAGGGUAUGGCUGUUCGCCAUUUAAAGCGGUACGCGAGCUGGGUUCAGAACGUCGUGAGACAGUUCGGUCCCUAUCUGCCGUGGGCGUAAGAAGAUUGAAGAGAUUUGACCCUAGUACGAGAGGACCGGGUUGAACAAACCACUGGUGUAGCUGUUGUUCUGCCAAGAGCAUCGCAGCGUAGCUAAGUUUGGAAAGGAUAAACGCUGAAAGCAUCUAAGCGUGAAGCCAACUCUAAGAUGAAUCUUCUCUAAGCUCUCUAGAAGACUACUAGUUUGAUAGGCUGGGUGUGUAAUGGAUGAAAGUCCUUUAGCUGACCAGUACUAAUAGAGCGUUUGGCUUAUCUUU